rnacentral:lncRNA from 1 species
ACUUUAACACCUUUUACCACUAGACUUGUCUCGUCCCUUGCCCUUCUUCUUACUACCCUCAUCACUCGAGUCACUACUCGAAUCACUACCGUCUUGAGUUCUACCCAAAUUCAUUUGCUUAAACUUCAUCCUACUCCUCAACAUAUGUAACUCACCACUCCUCUUAUCCUCUUUUUCAGCCUUAAUCUCCAUCUCCUUACUCCUAAGUGAGUCUAUGACAAUCUCGGGUGUUAAGGUAUCCCUACCAUACUUAAUUGCAUUCUUAACUUCCCUAUAUGAAUCAGGCAUGGAAUUAAGCAGGAUAAUAGCCUUAUACGUUUCAGAUACCUCUUCAUCACAGUUAACGAUGUCUUGAACUAAUUUGUUAAAAACAUCCAGAUUAUCAUCAAGAUCCUUUGAAGGAUCCAUUUUAAAGCUGAAAAAUCGUUCAAGCAAGU